GACGAACGCUGGCGGCGUGCUUAACACAUGCAAGUCGAACGGAACUCUUUGGAUCAAGACUUCGGUCAAGUGAAGUUGAGUUUAGUGGCGGACGGGUGAGUAACGCGUGAGGAACCUGCCUUUCAGAGGGGGACAACAGUUGGAAACGACUGCUAAUACCGCAUGAUACUUGCGAAUGGCAUCAUUUGCAAGUCAAAGAUUUAUCGCUGAAAGAUGGCCUCGCGUCUGAUUAGCUAGUUGGUGGGGUAACGGCCCACCAAGGCGACGAUCAGUAGCCGGCCUGAGAGGGUGGACGGCCACAUUGGGACUGAGACACGGCCCAAACUCCUACGGGAGGCAGCAGUGGGGAAUAUUGGACAAUGGGGGCGAACCCUGAUCCAGCGACGCCGCGUGAGUGAAGAAGUAUUUCGGUAUGUAAAGCUCUAUCAGCAAGGAAGAAAAAUAGACGGUAACGUUG
rnacentral:rRNA from 1 species